rnacentral:rRNA from 1 species
AACGAACGCUGGCGGCAGGCUUAACACAUGCAAGUCGAACGCCCCUCAAGGGGAGUGGCAGACGGGUGAGUAACGCGUGGGAACAUACCCUUUCCUGCGGAAUAGCUCCGGGAAACUGGAAUUAAUACCGCAUACGCCCUACGGGGGAAAGAUUUAUCGGGGAAGGAUUGGCCCGCGUUGGAUUAGCUAGUUGGUGGGGUAAAGGCCUACCAAGGCGACGAUCCAUAGCUGGUCUGAGAGGAUGAUCAGCCACAUUGGGACUGAGACACGGCCCAAACUCCUACGGGAGGCAGCAGUGGGGAAUAUUGGACAAUGGGCGCAAGCCUGAUCCAGCCAUGCCGCGUGAGUGAUGAAGGCCUUAGGGUUGUAAAGCUCUUUCACCGAUGAAGAUAAUGACGGUAGUCGGAGAAGAAGCCCCGGCUAACUUCGUGCCAGCCGCCGCCGUAACAC